rnacentral:rRNA from 1 species
UACGGGGGGGAGCAAGCGUUGUUCGGAUUUACUGGGCGUAAAGGGCGCGUAGGCGGCAAUUCAAGUCAUCUGUGAAAUCUCCGGGCUUAACUCGGAACGGUCAGAUGAUACUGCUUUGCUAGAGUGCGGAAGGGGCAAUCGGAAUUCUUGGUGUAGCGGUGAAAUGCGUAGAUAUCAAGAGGAACACCUGAGGUGAAGACGGGUUGCUGGGCCGACACUGACGCUGAGGAGCGAAAGCGUGGGGAGCGAACAGG